AGAGCGAACGCUGGCGGCAGGCCUAACACAUGCAAGUCGAACGGACCCUUCGGGGUUAGUGGCGGACGGGUGAGUAACACGUGGGAACGUGCCUUUAGGUUCGGAAUAGCUCCUGGAAACGGGUGGUAAUGCCGAAUGUGCCCUUCGGGGGAAAGAUUUAUCGCCUUUAGAGCGGCCCGCGUCUGAUUAGCUUGUUGGUGAGGUAAUGGCUCACCAAGGCUACGAUCAGUAGCUGGUCUGAGAGGAUGACCAGCCACAUUGGGACUGAGACACGGCCCAAACUCCUACGGGAGGCAGCAGUGGGGAAUCUUGCGCAAUGGGCGAAAGCCUGACGCAGCCAUGCCGCGUGUAUGAUGAAGGUCUUAGGAUUGUAAAAUACUUUCACCGGUGAAGAUAAUGACUGUAGCCGGAGAAGAAGCCCCGGCUAACUUCGUGCCGCAGCCGC
rnacentral:rRNA from 1 species